rnacentral:rRNA from 1 species
AUACGUAGGUGGCAAGCGUUGUCCGGAAUUAUUGGGCGUAAAGCGCGCGCAGGCGGCUAUGUAAGUCUGGUGUCAAAGCCCGGAGCUCAACUCCGGUACGCAUCGGAAACUGUGUAGCUUGAGUGCAGAAGAGGAAAGCGGUAUUCCACGUGUAGCGGUGAAAUGCGUAGAGAUGUGGAGGAACACCAGUGGCGAAGGCGGCUUUCUGGUCUGUAACUGACGCUGAGGCGCGAAAGCGUGGGGAGCAAACAGGAUUAGAUACCCUGGUAGUCCACGCCGUAAACGAUGAGUGCUAGGUGUUGGGGGUUUCAAUACCCUCAGUGCCGCAGCUAACGCAAUAAGCACUCCGCCUGGGGAGUACGGUCGCAAGACUGAA